rnacentral:rRNA from 1 species
AUUGAACGCUGGCGGCAGGCCUAACACAUGCAAGUCGAGCGGAUGAACGGGGCUUGCUCUUGUCUUCAGCUGCCGACGGGCGGGUGAUUCCUACGUAUCUGACUUGCCUUUGGGGCUAGGGUACGUACGCGGGCGCUAAUCCCGUAUCCGUUCUUAGUUUGAACGUCGUGGUUCUUCGGACCUCGCGCUAUUUGCUGAGCCUAGGUCGGAUUAGCUAGUUGGUUGGGUAAAGGCCUACCAAGGCGACGAUCCGUAGCUGCUCUGAGAGGAUGAUCAGACACACUGGAACUGAGACACGGUCCAGACUCCUACGGGAGGCAGCAGUGGGGAAUAUUGGACAAUGGGCGAAAGCCUGAUCCAGCAAUGCCGCGUGAGUGAAGAAGGUCUUCGGAUUGUAAAGCACUGUUAGUAGGGAAGAAGAGAAGUAAGUGAAAACCUGGAUGUUUUGACGGUACCAAAAGAAUAAGCACCGGCUAACUUCGUG